GGGAGGAGGCUCUAGGGUUGUAAACCUCUUUUCUCAAGGAAGAAAAAAAUGACGGUACUUGAGGAAUAAGCAUCGGCUAACUCCGUGCCAGCAGCCGCGGUAAUACGGAGGAUGCAAGCGUUAUCCGGAAUGAUUGGGCGUAAAGCCUCCGCAGGUGGCUGUGAAAGUCUGCUGUUAAAGAAUGACAUUCAACCUCAUCAGAGCAGUGGAAACUACACGGCUAGAGUGCGUUCGGGGUAGAGGGAAUUCCUGGUGUAGCGGUGAAAUGCGUAGAUAUCAGGAAGAACACCGGUGGCGAAGGCGCUCUACUAGGCCGCAACUGACACUGAGGGACAAAAGCUAGGGGAGCGAAUGGGA
rnacentral:rRNA from 1 species